rnacentral:lncRNA from 1 species
GGAAAGUUGUUUCCUGAAUGCUCCCACAGUAAAGGCAGCAAUGAGCGAGUACUUAACAAGGCUGCUCGGUCUGUAGCCAUGUGCACCGCACCGCCUACUUCUCCCCGUAACACUUUCGGAUACGCAGGAAUGGGUUUUAAUGCCAUCAAUUAUUCACGUUAGAAAGCCGAAGCUCGGACAAGAAGGAGUCUCACAAUCCCAAACCGUUUUCCAAAAUGCAGUAUGGAAUGGAAUUGGCGGGCAAGUGAAAAACCUUUGGGCUCUCCUUUUAUCCUCUUAAAACUGUCACGACACACUCAUCGCAGCAA